AUUGAACGCUAGCGGCAGGCCUAAUACAUGCAAGUCGAGGGAGAAUGUUGGAUUCGUCUGACAUGAAACCGGCGCACGGGUGCGUAACACGUAUGCAACCUACCUUUAACUGGGGUAUAGCUCAGAGAAAUCUGAAUUAAUCCCCCAUAAGACUACGACAUGGCAUCAUGAUGUAGUUAAAGCUCCGGCGGUUAAGGAUGGGCAUGCGGUACAUUAGCUAGUUGGUGAGGUAAUGGCUCACCAAGGCUAAGAUGUAUAGGGGGUCUGAGAGGAUGAUCCCCCACACUGGUACUGAGACACGGACCAGACUCCUACGGGAGGCAGCAGUAGGGAAUAUUGGUCAAUGGACGCAAGUCUGAACCAGCCAUGCCGCGUGAAGGAUGAAGGCCCUAUGGGUCGUAAACUUCUUUUAUUAGGGAAGAAAAAACGGGAUGCGUCCUGUACUGACGGUACUUAAUGAAUAAGGAUCGGCUAACUUCGUGCCAGCCGCCGCAGUAA
rnacentral:rRNA from 1 species